rnacentral:siRNA from 1 species
UGUCUUGCUUCUUUCGUCGGAGGG